UGGAGUUAAGGGUUGCUUGGAGA
rnacentral:miRNA from 1 species